ensembl:miRNA
GGUUUCUCUGUGUAUCCCUGGCUGUCCUGGAACUCACUCUGUAGACCAGGCUGGCCUCAAACUCAAAAAGAUCCACCUGCCUCUGCCUCCCGAGUGGUGGGAUUAAAGGCAUGUGCCACCACUGCCC